AUGUGUGUUUGGUGUGGAGCUGAUCUUGGCUUCUGGAUAUGGAGCCUGGGACUGGACUUCUGCUGGUGGAAUUCUCCAGAGUUCAACCUCUGGUUCCUCACUGCUUCAGACACUUCCACACUGUUGUACUUACCAAUUACCCUGCCCUCCAAAGGUGUGUGUGUACCCAUGCACCUGGGACCCAGCUGUUGUCCUGUGUCUCAGGUCUUGGGGUUCUGUCAGUCUACUCAACAAAGGUCAUAAAAACAUCAUUGUGGAUGCAUUCUGGAACAUGUGGCCAUAGAAAAAAGAGAUCUUCAAAACCACGAAGUCUGCUGCCUCUAGACCCAUCUUGGAGUUUGCAAUAGACUGAUUAUAUUAACAUGUUUGCAUAUUUUACUUCUCUUCUUAUUCUGUUACAGAGGACACCAAACCCAACAAUGCUAGUCAUGUUUCAACUGCUUCAAUUACAAAAACAAAAAAAGAGAAAUUGAUGGAGACCACUAUGAAGUGGCUCUGAGAAGAAUUUAUAUUAACCAAUUGGCUUCUCAGGUUUACUUGUAAGUCUGUCAAAGGCCUAAGCCUCUUGUCUAGAGAUGGGUGGCCUGUGAUGGUGGGUGAAGCCAUAGAACCUAGGAAGACAAGACAAGACUGAUAUGAACAGUUGUUUAAUUAGAACCCCUGGCUAAUAUCCUUAGUUACUGGACUGGCUGCUCCCAUCUUGAUAAUAAUUGUCAUCCAGAUCUUUGGGCUGUGCCUCAUUCAUUCGAUAAAAGGUAGACUCCAAAGUACUGUAAAUCAGUCACAGAUGAUGGUCCUAGUUGAAACAGCUGAGUAUGAGCCACCACCAUAUGAAGAACUAUAUACAUCCUAAGUAAGGAAACUAUGUCCUUGAGAGGAGAAUGACGUGGCUGAUGUAACUGCCCUGUUUUUGCCAUGUUUAUCCAUAGGUUAAGCAUAGGUAACUCCAUUUUGUUUCUGAACUCCAUUUUAAUGGUCACUUACACUCCAUAUGAACUUACUCCAUCCCUCCUCCUAUUCAGUUAACCAUAAAACCCACAGGGGAGGGAAAGGUCAUUAACUUAAGGAACAAAGAGUUAGGAG
rnacentral:lncRNA from 1 species